rnacentral:rRNA from 1 species
GGUAUGGGAUGAGCUUGCGUCCGAUUAGCUAGUUGGCGGGGCAACGGCCCACCAAGGCGACGAUCGGUAGCCGGCCUGAGAGGGUGAUCGGCCACAUUGGGACUGAGAUACGGCCCAGACUCCUACGGGAGGCAGCAGUAGGGAAUAUUGCACAAUGGGGGAAACCCUGAUGCAGCAACGCCACGUGUGGGAAGAAGCAUUUCGGUGUGUAAACCACUGUCAUGAGGGAAUAAGGCCCUUAUUCGUAAGGGAUUGAAUGUACCUUGAGAGGAAGCACCGGCAAACUUCGUGCCAGCAGCCGCGGUAAUACGAGGGGUGCAAGCGUUGUUCGGAAUUACUGGGCGUAAAGGGAGCGUAGGCGGAGAUUCAAGCGGAUUGUACAAUUCCGGGGCCCAACCCCGGCUCUGCAGUCCGAACUGGAUCUCUUGGAUAGUUCAGGGGCAGGC